rnacentral:tRNA from 1 species
GUGGCUCAGCGGUAGAGCACUUGCCUUGCACGCACAAGACCCUGGGUUCGAUCCUCAGC